UCAUCUUGUUCAACAAAAAAUAGCAUAAAUAAUUAUAUCGAUAGCUUCUAAUCAUGUCAUUUAGAUAAUUCCUAAAAAAAUGCAUGUUUAAUUCCUUAUCUUAAAAUAGACGCGCGCAAUUUUGAACCCAUUUCGAUCCGCCAUAUUGCUCAUGAGGUUUUACAAGGUUUAUGACGGAUGAUGUAAUGCCUAGCUUUACCGUGAAGGGGAAAAGGAGAAAAUGACUUUCCAAAAGCAGUUUUUCAAGGUGUUCAAGCAAGUGUCACUAUGUUUACUGCUAUUGAACAUGAGGUUGAUGGGGCAAUUGGAUCCUGUCUGAAGUACGCUCCAGACAGACAAGGAGGUGGAGGACGACGAACUAUUUACACAAGUUAAUUAACAUACAUCUCUAAACUUAUAAAUUAACAAUGUGUCAUUUUAAUAAUUUAAUGUGCCUUUAUCAUCCAAUACUUUUAGUGUCUGUACA